rfam:Hordeum vulgare subsp. vulgare, WGS project CAJW01000000 data, contig: morex_contig_48536
AAUAUACUCCCUCCGUCCAGAAAUACUUGUCCUAAAAAUUAAUAUAAUUGAUGUAUCUAUAACUAAAAUAAGUCUAGAUUCAUUCAUUUUUAGGACAAUUAUUUCCGGACGGAGGGAGUAUAUA